rnacentral:lncRNA from 1 species
UUUGUUUUCCUAAUGAGCAUGGUCCACAGAUUUUGUCCUUUUCAAAAAUCAAUUUUGGCACAUCUUUUAUUAAUUCCUUCUUGACUAGUUUUGAUAUUAAUUCCAUACUAGCAUGUCCUAGUCUACGAUGCCAAAGCCAACUUGUUUUAUUUUUCUUUUCUUCAUUAGUAAUUAAGCAUAAUCCAUUUUUCUUGCCUAGAUCAUGAAGAUCUACCAUGUAAAUAUUUCUUUGCCUUUGUCCUACAAGUACAAUGCUAUUAUCUUUAGGAUUUGUGAUUAUGCAUACUGAUGCUUCAAAUGUGACUUUAAACCCUUUAUCACAAAAUUGACUUAUGCUAAGUAGGUUAUGUUUCAAACCCUUAACUAAUAAGACAUUUUCUAUGAAAGUAGAUGAAGUAAUGAAAAUUUUACCCUU